GACGAACGCUGGCGGCGUGCUUAACACAUGCAAGUCGAACGGAAAGGCCCUUCGGGGUACUCGAGUGGCGAACGGGUGAGUAACACGUGGGUGAUCUGCCCUGCACUUUGGGAUAAGCCUGGGAAACUGGGUCUAAUACCGAAUAGGACCACGGCCUUCAUGGGUUGUGGUGGAAAGCUUUUGCGGUGUGGGGAUGGGCCCGCGGCCUAUCAGCUUGUUGGUGGGGUAAUGGCCUACCAAGGCGACGACGGGUAGCCGGCCUGGGAGGGUGACCGGCCACACUGGGACUGAGAUACGGCCCAGACUCCGACGGGAGGCAGCAGUGGGGAAUAUUGCACAAUGGGCGCAAGCCUGAUGCAGCGACGCCGCGUGAGGGAUGACGGCCUUCGGGUUGUAAACCUCUUUCAGCAGGGACGAAGCGCAAGUGACGGUACCUGUAGAAGAAGGACCGGCCAACUACGUGCCAGCAGCCGCCGUAACAC
rnacentral:rRNA from 1 species